UUUGUUUGGAGAGUUUGAUCCUGGCUCAGGACGAACGCUGGCGGCGUGCUUAACACAUGCAAGUCGAACGGAAGGUGCCCCUUCGGGGGUGACUCGAGUGGCGAACGGGUGAGUAACACGUGGGUGAUCUGCCCUGCACUUUGGGAUAAGCCUGGGAAACUGGGUCUAAUACCGGAUAGGACCAUGGACUUCACGGUUUGUGGUGGAAAGCAAGCUUUUGCGGUGUGGGAUGGGCCCGCGGCCUAUCAGCUUGUUGGUGGGGUGAUGGCCUACCAAGGCGACGACGGGUAGCCGGCCUGAGAGGGUGUCCGGCCACACUGGGACUGAGAUACGGCCCAGACUCCUACGGGAGGCAGCAGUGGGGAAUAUUGCACAAUGGGCGCAAGCCUGAUGCAGCGACGCCGCGUGGGGGAUGACGGCCUUCGGGUUGUAAACCUCUUUCACCAUCGACGAAGCCGCAGCUUGUGUUGUGGUGACGGUAGGUCGAGAAGAAGCACCGGCCAACUACGUGCCAGCAGCCGCGGUAAUACGUAGGGUGCGAGCGUUGUCCGGAAUUAUUGGGCGUAAAGAGCUCGUAGGCGGUGUGUCGCGUCGGCCGUGAAAACUCACAGCUUAACUGUGGGCGUGCGGGCGAUACGGGCAGACUAGAGUUCGGCAGGGGAGACUGGAAUUCCUGGUGUAGCGGUGAAAUGCGCAGAUAUCAGGAGGAACACCGGUGGCGAAGGCGGGUCUCUGGGCCGAUACUGACGCUGAGGAGCGAAAGCAUGGGUAGCGAACAGGAUUAGAUACCCUGGUAGUCCACGCCGUAAACGGUGGGUACUAGGUGUGGGUUUCCUUCCUUGGGAUCCGUGCCGUAGCUAACGCAUUAAGUACCCCGCCUGGGGAGUACGGCCGCAAGGCUAAAACUCAAAGAAAUUGACGGGGGCCCGCACAAGCGGCGGAGCAUGUGGAUUAAUUCGAUGCAACGCGAAGAACCUUACCUGGGUUUGACAUGCACAGGACGAGUCUAGAGAUAGGCUUUCCCUUGUGGCCUGUGUGCAGGUGGUGCAUGGCUGUCGUCAGCUCGUGUCGUGAGAUGUUGGGUUAAGUCCCGCAACGAGCGCAACCCUUGUCUCAUGUUGCCAGCACGUAAUGGUGGGGACUCGUGAGAGACUGCCGGGGUCAACUCGGAGGAAGGUGGGGAUGACGUCAAGUCAUCAUGCCCCUUAUGUCCAGGGCUUCACACAUGCUACAAUGGCCGGUACAAAGGGCUGCGAUGCCGUGAGGUGGAGCGAAUCCUUGUUAAAGCCGGUCUCAGUUCGGAUCGGGGUCUGCAACUCGACCCCGUGAAGUCGGAGUCGCUAGUAAUCGCAGAUCAGCAACGCUGCGGUGAAUACGUUCCCGGGCCUUGUACACACCGCCCGUCACGUCAUGAAAGUCGGUAACACCCGAAGCCCAUGGCCCAACCCGCAAGGGAGGGAGUGGUCGAAGGUGGGAUCGGCGAUUGGGACGAAGUCGUAACAAGGUAGCCGUACCGGAAGGUGCGGCUGGAUCACCUCCUUU
rnacentral:rRNA from 1 species